UGGGGAAUAUUGCACAAUGGGCGCAAGCCUGAUGCAGCCAUGCCGCGUGUAUGAAGAAGGCCUUCGGGUUGUAAAGUACUUUCAGCGAGGAGGAAGGCGUUGUGGUUAAUAACCGCAGCGAUUGACGUUACUCGCAGAAGAAGCACCGGCUAACUCCGUGCCAGCAGCCGCGGUAAUACGGAGGGUGCAAGCGUUAAUCGGAAUUACUGGGCGUAAAGCGCACGCAGGCGGUCUGUCAAGUCGGAUGUGAAAUCCCCGGGCGCAACCUGGGAACUGCAUCCGAAACUGGCAGGCUAGAGUCUUGUAGAGGGGGGUAGAAUUCCAGGUGUAGCGGUGAAAUGCGUAGAGAUCUGGAGGAAUACCGGUGGCGAAGGCGGCCCCCUGGACAAAGACUGACGCUCAGGUGCGAAAGCGUGGGGAGCAAACA
rnacentral:rRNA from 1 species